UACGUAGGGUGCGAGCGUUGUCCGGAAUUAUUGGGCGUAAAGGGCUCGUAGGCGGUUUGUCGCGUCGGGAGUGAAAUCCACUGGCUUAACUGGUGGCUUGCUUUCGAUACGGGCAGACUGGAGGUAUGCAGGGGAGAACGGAGUUCCUGGUGUAGCGGUGAAAUGCGCAGAUAUCAGGAGGAACACCAGUGGCGAAGGCGGUUCUCUGGGCAUGUCCUGACGCUGAGGAGCGAAAGUGUGGGGAGCGAACAGG
rnacentral:rRNA from 1 species